rnacentral:rRNA from 1 species
UGGGGAACCUGCCCCAUAGUCUGGGAUACCACUUGGAAACAGGUGCUAAUACCGGAUAAGAAAGCGGAUCGCAUGAUCAGCUUUUAAAAGGCGGCGUAAGCUGUCGCUAUGGGAUGGCCCCGCGGUGCAUUAGCUAGUUGGUAAGGUAAAGGCUUACCAAGGCGAUGAUGCAUAGCCGAGUUGAGAGACUGAUCGGCCACACUGGGACUGAGACACGGCCCAAACUCCUACGGGAGGCAGCAGAG